GACACUUAAGCUCUAAUGACACGAGGGGAUCUGGAAAGGGAACUGUUCCUGUACGCUCACCUGUGGGAGAAACGCUCAUUACCUGAAGAUGUUGCUGUGGAAAGCUUUCUCUUUUAUCCUUUUUUCUUGGCGGGGCAUCUAUUACUUCAUAUAUUUUGUAUUGCACUUUUAAAUAUUAAAGACUCCAUCUAUUUUGAGUUAUCCCACGAGCAGAUUACUGAGGUAGGCAAGGAGUCUCCAGACAGACCCAAGUGACUGCUUCUGCAAAGCUUGGGUUUUGUUUCACCGGCUUUUGGAUCAUUUAUAAAGAUGCUUAGCCUUCUGUCAUCCAAUGUGUUCCGUCCUCCUUUCUCUCCACAGUGUGAUUCUGGUCGGUCUGCUCCAUCUUUCCUGUGUCACAGUUCUUUUCUUAGUGCUACCCCUUAUCCUUCAUGGAAGUAAAAUCAGUUAAUUGCCCUCUGUUUUCUCCACAGGAGCCAUGGGGCGCUGAAUACGUAACUAGAGAUUAAUGUCCACCAUAAGUGUUUCCUUAGCUACAGUCACUUGAAUUCUUCCUGGGGUGCUGCAGGCCACAUCCCCAGUCUCAGCUCUCAGCUCUUUCUGCCUCUGUCUCCUGCUCUGUGUGUGCAUAGCUUCUCCCUCCUCCUCCUCACACAAAGAUGCAUCUGUGUUUCUUUUCAAGUUUUCUCCUCUCCUGCUUCUGAAGGUGACUGUAGGCAUGUGUUGAGAAAUCCCUGCAUUCCCUUCCCCCUUCCUGAUGGACCCUCACUUCACACCCAUCCUCUUCUCUUCCACAUCUAUCCUGUGAGUGAGCCGCCCCUCUCCACAAUGAGCACUGAUUUCCAUACUCUAUCAUGUUCUUAUGUGGGGUUUUGGUUGUUGCUGCUUAGGUUUUGCUUUUGGUUGAUUGGGCUUGGUUUUUGUUUUGUUUUGCUUUUUGUUUGUUUGGGUUUUUUUUUUUUUUUUGACACAAGGUUUACUCUGUGUGGCCUUGGCCGUCCUAAAACUUUCCCUGUAGAUCAAGCUGGCCUUGAACUCAGAUCUGCCUGCCUCUGCCUCCCAAGUGCUAGAAUUAAGGUGUGCACCACCAUCUGGCUGAAUGUUAGGUUUAGAAUAAUGUCACACCCCCAUAGACUCAUGUGAAGUGGCAUUAUUGGGGGUAUGUCCUGAGCAGAGUAUUUGUGGCUUUGAGGGAGGAAGUGUGUCACAUGGGGGUGAACUUGGAAGUUUCAGGAGCUCAAGCAAGACCCUGUGUUUCUCUAUCUUCCUGAUGUCUUAGGUCCAGAUAUACAACUUUCAACUACCUCUGCAGUGCCUUGACUGUCUGCACACUGCCAUGAUUGCCCCCAUAAUGAUGAUGGACUAAACCUCCUACCUGUAAGCCAGCCUCGGUUAAAUAUUUUUCAUUAUAAGACUUGCUGUGGUCAUGGUGUCUCUUCACAGCAGUAUAAAACCCUAAGUAAGAGAGAUCUCAGUCUAAUUGAGUGCACCUAUAGUAAUCAAUGAACCUGGGCAGCUGCCUUUCGUUCCCAUCUAUGCCGAAAUCUCUUUAAAUCCCAUGAGGCUCUGGGUGGCCUGUGACAAUGCCACUUACUGAGGGAGAGCUUGUUCAUUCCCUUCUUCAUCUUCUUUUCUUCUAGUUAUCAUGUGAGUGUAGUGUGCCUGUCUACAUGUGUGUGGGAAGUGGUGUACAUGCAGAUGCAUACAAGUGAAUAAGGCUUUAUGACCUAUAGGACAGAAACUAAAAUACCAAAACAACACAAAAUGAAGCAAAAGGUCCACACAAAUACCACUGAGUUUAUUUUGUGUUAGCCAAUUAUUUCUGGGCAUGUGGCCUGUCCUCGGGUAUGGUGGAUAUACCCAGUGAGGCUGCAUUGGAGAAAACUGUAUUCUCUGCAAGUUCUUCCUUAUACGCAAUGAAAGAACAACCUAUUUAGCUGGAUAUGGAAGAACCUGCAAUCCCAGCAUCCCAGAGCUGGAAAGAGUGAGGCAAGAGAGCCAGGAGUUCAAGAUCAGCCUGAGCUACAGGAUGAGACCUGUCUUGCAAAGCAAGCAAGCAAGCAAGCAAGCAAGCAAGCAAGCAAGCAAGCAAGCAACAUAGAAAGUUAGAAAGAGGAAAAAGAAAAGUGGGGCUGCAGACUGGAUCAGCAUUUGAGAGUGAGCACUGCUCUUAUAUAGGACCCCAGUUUGGUUCCUAGCACUCAUACUGAAAGGCUCUCAACUGCCUGUCACUUCAUCUCCUGGAGAUCCAGUGUCAUCUUUUGGAAUCUGUAAGCACCCACACUCAUGGAGGCAUUUCCUCACUGAGGCUCCUUUCUCUGUGAGCACUCUAGCUUGUGUUACAUUGGCACACAAAAGCCGCUGGUACAGGCUGUGAGAAGAACAAGUGACUUUAAGAAUAUCUCUAGCUGUCUC
rnacentral:lncRNA from 1 species